rnacentral:lncRNA from 1 species
UUUUUUUUUUUCAUUUGUCACUGACUGUCUCUUCCCUAAAAUGUAAGUUCCACCAUGGCAGGGCCUUUAUGUUAGUUAACUGCUCUGUCCCCAGCACCUAAAACAGCACUUGACAUAUCAACUGUACUUUUUUUCAUUAUUUUGAUGUCUUUCCCAGAAAUGCUUUAUUCUGUAAAUCGCCAGCAUUACCAAACUUUUUGUGUUGCCUUUUUUUUUUUUUUUUUUUUUUUUGGAUUUUUGAUAUUUUGGGGCCGUACCUGUGGCAUAUGGAAGUUUCCAGGCUAGGAGGUCUAAUCAGAGCUGCAGCUGCCAGCCUACGCCACAGCAACAUAGGAUCAGAACCAUGUCUGCGACCUGCACCACAAGCUAGAUCCUUAACCCAUUGAGCGAGGCCAGCGAUCAAACCCACAUCAUCAUGAACACAAGCUGGGUUCGUUAACCACUAAGCCACAAUGGGAACUCCAGUGUUGCUAUUUUUAGCCCAAUCUUUUAGUAGUAUUGGAGACUUGUAUGCAUCUCUAUUAUUCAAGUCUAUUUACCAUCUCCUGGGUUUUUAAACCUGAGUAAUAGUCACCCUAGACACUUGAGAAAUAUAGAAACAAAGUCAUUUCUAUGAAUUAAAAUUGGCAGGGAAAGGCCCAUGUAAUUUUAAAAAUUUUGACGUUUAGGUAAAUAUUUGAAUAAUAUUAAAUAUUAUUGACUUGAAUAGGGGUUAAUUCUGCUGUUAUAAAUAAUAUGAAUAUGCUUACAUGUAAAUGAAAGAUUGGCUCCCGUAACUUAUGGCUACCUAAGAAAUAUGAUUCUUUAUGAAGAAAUAUUCAGAGAUGGGGUAUAUAAUAGGAAAAUGUACAUUUUGAUUUAUCUAUUUUAUUUAUCUUUUGGAAGGAAAUAUCUUUAGGUGGCAUGACACUAUCUUUUCCUACUCCCAACUAUAUCAGAUAACACAACUUGUAAAGAAACUAAUUCAAGAGAAAUAGAUUGCAUUUCCACUAUUUUUAAAGUGAAAUACCAAACAUCUCCUUUUUAUUACUUAGUAUUAUUUUUAAUUAAAUGUACUAUAAUUUGUAUCCAUUCACCAACUGGGUGUCCAGUGUUUGGGCUAUUGUGAAUAAAGAUGUUAUAAACAUUUCAUCUAAAGAUCUCUGUGUAGACAUAUUCUAACUACUCUUUGUUAAAUACCUUGGAGUGGGAUUGCUGGGUUGUAUGGUAAAGCAUAUAUUUUAGUUUCUAAAAAACUACCAAACCAUUUUCCAAAGGAGAUAUACCAUUUUACAUUUCCACAAGAUAUAGAUGAGAGUUCUUACUGACUCUUCAUGCGAGCAUUUGGUAUGGUGGUUUCUUUUCAUUUUAACUAUUCUUUCUGCUAAGUGUGUAGUGGUAACUCGUAAUUUGCAUUUCCCUAAUAACUAGUGAUAAUAUAUUUAAGUGUGUUUUCCAUUCUUAUCUUUCUAGUAAGGUAUCUUGAAAUUGUUUCCAAUUUUAUAAAACAGAAUUUUAGAUAUAAGUCAUCAGUCAGAUAAACUGCAAAUAUUUUCUCUGAGUCUGUGGCUUGUCUUUUCAUUUCCUUAACAGUAUCUUGGAAUGGCAAAAUUUCAAAAAUUUCAAUAAAGUCCAGUUUAUCCAUUUUUUUCUCUUAUAGUUUGUUCUUUGUGUGUAGAAAUUUUUGCCUAACUUGAGGUCAUCACAGAUUUUUCUCCUGUUUUCUUCUACAAGGAUUAUACUUUUUGCUUUUAAAUCUGAUUCAUUUCAAGUUGAUUUUUGUAGAAAGUAUGAGGUUUGGAUCAAAAUUGUGUGGGGGGUGGGUUUUUGAUUCUUUGUUUUUGUAAUAUGCAUAUCCCAUUUUUCCAGCACCAUUUGUUGAAAAGACUAUUCUAAUGAAUUUUUCUUUCACCUAUGCAAACUGUUGUCCAUAUAUGUCUGGGUCUGUUUCUGGGCUCCCUAUUCUGACCUAUUAAUUUAUAUUUCUGUCCUAUACUAUAGUAACUUAUACUAUCUUGAUUACCAUACUUUACAGUAAAUCAUGAUAUCAAGUAGUAUGAGUUCUAAAUUCUGUUCUUUUUCAAACUUGUUUUGGUAUUCUAAAUUCCUUUGCUUUACCACAUUUUACAUUUUUUAAGUUUUUUUAAAAAAAAUGUUAUUACAGUUGAUUUACAAUGUUCUGUCAAUUUCUGCUGUACAGUGAAGUGACCCAGUUUGAUAGAUAGAUAGAUAGAUAGACCUUAUAUAUGUAUAUUUACAUUAUUCUUCUCAUAUUAUCUUCUAUCAAGUGAUUGGAUAUAGUUUCCUGUGCUAUACAGCAGGACCUCAUUGCUUGUCCAUUCUAAAUGUAAUAGUUUCCAACUACCAACCCCAAACGCCCAGUCCAUCACACUCAUUCCUCCUUCCCUUUGGCAACCGCAAGUCUGUUCUCUCCGUACCACAUACAUUUUAGAAAUAACUUGUCAAUUUCUACCAAAAAAGUCUGCUGGGGCUUUUAUUGAGAUCAUAAUGAAUCUAUAAUCAAUUUGGAAAAUAUUGACAAUUUAACACUACUGACAUCUGACUUAGGAUCACAAUAAGUUGUUCUCUGCUGUUAGGUCUUUAACUUGUAAGUGUGCUGUGGUUUUUCAUAUAUACUAUUAGAUUUACCCCUUAGUAGUUCAUAUUUUUCUACUGUUAAAAAUUAUUUUUGAAAUUUUUAAGUGUUCAUUGUUUUUUAGGUUUAACCUUUGUUCUAUGAUUAGUUCUAAUAGCUUAUUCUAGAUUUUCUGAGGUUUUCUACAUAAUCAUGUCUUCACAAUCUGAAUGCCUUUUUUCUUCUUGCGUUAAUGUAUUUUCUAUGACCUCUAGUAUAAUAUUAGUAAAAAUGGUCAUCUCCACCUAUUCCUAACUGGGUUGGAGGAGGUAAGAAUUCAGUCUUUCACCAUUGAAUGUGUUACGGGCCAUAGGUUUUUUUGUAGUUGACCUUUAUCUUGUCCACGAAGUUCCCUUCUAGUCGUAGUUUUCUGAGCAUUAAAAGAAAAAUGUUUCUUUUAUUCUUAAAAUAACCAUAAGUACUUUUUCAUGGAAUAUGUGCACCUGUUAUAAACAGAUCAUGGAAUCAGACUGGAGACGGCUACCCUCAUUGCUCACUUCAUAUUGAUUUUCUCCCAGUACUUGUUUUUUUUAUCAAAGAAACCAUUGAAACCCAGCUUUGUAAUGUUAUGGGGUCUAAUGAUGAAACCAAACCAUCUCAAGCUGGUAGUUGAUGUUGUUUUGGGCCAAAGAGACAUUUAUUACACUGUUUCCCUCAAAAAUUUAAAAUUUCCUGCAGCACCCAUGUGUUUUUUCUGCAUUUACCAACCACAGCACUAGCCCACACACUGCUUUUAAGAAUUUAUUAAAACUGAUUUAUUCUUACCUGCUUUAUAAACUCACUCUUGCUGUCAUGCUAUGUCAAGUUUAGGAUACAGUUAAUGUCUAUCAGCUCCUCUUGGAGAGUCCUGUCAUUCUUUAGAAUGAUUCAGCUCGUUUGAUUGCCUAGUGACCUCUGCUUUCUAAUGGGUUCAAGAAAAACUAAGAUUUUUUAAAGAGUAACUGUCUUCUUCCUUGUUAGAACAGCAAGAAUGUUCUCUUAGAGCUAUUUACGUCCUAAGAGAAACUCUCAAAUGAGUGAGUCAACUUCACUGGGGUAUAAUAUACAUACAGUAAAUUUCAUUCUCUGUAAGCGUACACAGUUUGAUGAGGUUUGCAAAAUAUGUAACAAUCAUGAUACAGAAUAUUUUCAUCACUCCAAAGGUUUUUCACUCUGCCCCUUUCCAGUCAAUCUCCAUACUUAAAUUGUGGCCCAGGAAACCACUGAUCUUUUAAUUAUAUAUUAGAUUUGUCUAACUAGAAUUUAAUAUGUAAAUUAAUAAAAUCAUCAGUGUAUGCACUCUCUUUUGUGUGACCUUUGCUCAACACUUUGUUUCUGAGAUUAGUUCAUGUCAGUUGCAUGUAUCCAUGGUUCAUUCCUUUUUAUUGCUUUGUUUAAAAUUCCACUGUAUGGCUAUACUACUCACCUAAUGAAUGGAUUUCCCGUGUUUAGCUCAUACAAAUAAAACAUCUAUGAAC